UCCAUCUGACUAGGAGGAUCCCCUUGAACAGCAGCAUGCCUACAGAACACUGCUGCAUGGAAGAAUAUCUGUGUUUGUCUGAAUUCCAUCCAGUUGACAGGAUUUUUUCCCCCUUUCUCCUCACUUUCAGCCCUGAUAAAACUCUUGAAGCCUCACAAGAAUGACAAGUUCAGUGACAAAAUACGACGGAAAAACCAAAUGACUUGUGUGUGCAUUUUCCAAAGGGCUAUGCUUUCCUUCCCCAACUUUCAUGCCACUGACGUUCAUGAAACUUACUUGAGCAUAAGGAUAGAGGAUCCCUUCCAAGUACAGUACUAUAUACUGUGUUAUUCACUGAACACCAAACUAUAGAUUACUAAUGAGCUAUCAUGAGAGCUGAAAUCAUUACAGACAUAUAAUUUAGAUGGUCAUGUCUGAGCAGAAAAGAAGAAGCUUUUUCAAGCAUUUGGAAACCAAGCAGAAGGCAAAGCAUGCUAAUUUUCAGGACUCGGAAAGUCAGAAAAGAUCCUGCUGUGAUAAUCACCCACUUUCUACAAUUUAAAAAAAAAAAUCAUUCUAAUGAUGGUUUAUCUGUUACAUAUAGUUUGGCCCUGAGUGAGUAUAAUUCAGAGUUCAGUACAAAGGAGAAGACUAAAAAAAGAUUCUAAAUAAUCAUUAGGUAUUGGACAAGAGGUUUUGCUUAUUUUCAACCCAGGAACUCCAAACCAUUUAAACCUUCCGCCCCUUCUCGUGCUUCAGUGGGAUGAUUUGCAGAACUGUAGAUCAGUCUGGGGAGAAAAAGAGCCCAAAGUAUAAACAUGACUCACAAGUUCAUAUUAUUUCAGAACUUGAAUUCUAGUUUCAGGUAACAGCACUUGCAGCUGGUGUUUGGAUAACAUAACACAUUUAAUGAUUUAUAUUCCCUCUACUCCAGGGAGUGGGCACUCCAGUGCUGCAAAGCUUUCUUUCCAGAUCUUUCACACUGUUGAGUGUGACAUUGACGAUUUUACCCCAUCUUUCUUCCAGUGAAAUUUGUUGUAACAAAAAAGAAAGUAACAUAAUCUGCUACAUUAUAUAUCAGAGCACCCAGAUGCUUUUGCACAAACAUCUAAUGUUGGAAUUCUACAUGUGCAUUUAAAUUUAGAAUACAGCCACAGACAAUUCAUGCUAUAUACUGUUGCAUGAGAGUUACCUUGAUAUAUAAGGCUUGUGCAAAGCUCUCAUCCCAAUUUAACAAAGGAAGUGUCAAUGUCAAUUCAAGAACUCUCCUCAAUGCAAAACAAAGUAAGCAAUUGCAUAUUUUUACAUAUACUGUAGUAACAUUAAUUAAGCUGGGACAGCAUCUUUAUUACUUAAGUUAGGGUGGAUACCUUUGUCCAUUUUACACUACAAACUCGGCUUCUUUUUUUCCUUGGAGAAUUGGCAUGUGAUGAAAUGAAUUUGUUAAUAGCUCAACACACCAUCCAAUCUGCAACUAAGGAUACAGUGAUGGAAAUUGUAUUAGUAUUUGUAUAAUUUGUAGUCACUAAUUCCAACUAGUUUAUGAAAUGUUGGGGAUAAAUCUAAGUUGCACAAUCAUAUUUGUCAUCAGGCUCACAACCAAGAGACAUUUUGUCAAUUAGCCACAGUAGGUUAUGCAAACCUUAUGUGGGGAUUAUGGCCAGUAAUUCCAACAUGUGCUUAAGAAUUUUUAAGGACUUGUUGAAUGGUGGUCUAUACAUGUGGAUAAUCAUUUAUUUGCACAACUGAUUUCAUCUCCAAGCCACUACAGGCAACAUCCGAUAACUUCAACUGGAGAACAGAAAAAAAUGAUUGAAAUAAACUCUAAUUUGAACAAAAUGCAUUCCAAUAUUGAAAAUGCAGUGAAUGCAAUCAAAUUAUUUUAUGCUUCUAUAUACUGGAAUAUCAACACAAAUUGUCUCAGUCACUGUCAAAUAGUCAGCCACUCUACUUGUUCACAAUUAACUCCUAAAUGCUUGCUGAAAGCACUACUGAAUUCAUGCUCCAGGUGUUCUUUUUAUUGCUUCUGCCCUCUUGUUGCAGUACAUGUUUCAAUAAAGAAGAUACUCCAGUUCAUUAAAAACAUUAACGAAAUGAAGCCUUUCAUCCAGUACACAAUGGAGUUAUUGGCUAUUAUACUCAAUAGCAGAAUUAAGUAUUCCAUUUCCCCCAUGCAAUAUCUUUCCACUUGUGUCUAGGUUGACUACAGUUGUUCCCUUUGGGAGCUAAAACCCUUCAUUUCCCUUCAAACCAGUGACCUUGUAUGAGUUACAGAAAAAGGAAAGUGAAAAACUCUACCUAUGUUAAAAAGAGUCAGACCAUUCUUUCACUCCUCAGACCAAAUAUUUCCACAAUUUUAAUGGGGCCACUUUCUGAUAAGUAUAUUUUGAGGUUUGCAUCAUUGUUACAAGAAUAAUAAUUCCAAAGCUUUGUUAAUUUUUUGCAUUUUUCUUCAGGGUGUUCUUUUUACAUGACACUUUCAGGCCCCUUUCUGUCCAUUCCAGGCUUCUAAUCCAAGGGAACAUUUUAAAAAGUAGAAAGGAGAGGAUAGCAAUCUUCAUAUUUCUCCUCCUUCUUGUUUUCCCCCAGCCUCCCCAAAAUCUUCCCUAAAGUUUAUGAAACCUGUGUAACAGCAUGAGAAUUUUAUGCAGAGAGUCCUCCUGCUAAUGGGUGGACAACACUGAACUCAAAACUGUGAUCACAAUCCAACCCAGAGAUAUGGUACUGUCAGAUAUAACUUGAGGUGCAAUCCUCUGCAUAUCUGAAUAUAUUCCAGAUAAAUUAAUGGGACUUGCUAAUAACCAUGCAUAGGUUAAAUUGCACCUUUGUGCAGAGUUGUUACCUAGCUAUAUGGGACUUGCUAAUAACCAUGCAAGUUAUAUGUUUGAAAAUUAAUGGUUGUAAUCUUGUUGCUUAGUGUAGCAAGCCGCAACUAGAGUAUGCCCAUCUGAACCAAUGGAACUCAUGGGGAGGUGAUUACCAAAUCCCCAUUGAUUCAGUGGGCCUAUUCUAGUGCAACUUACUACAUUGAGGAACAGGAUCUCAGUCAAUAUUUCAACAGCUCCAUUUGAAACAACACAAUUCAUCAGAGUGUUUUUCUUUUACCUAUUAGCCCCUUUAGACAGGAAUACUUAGAAAUCUCAUAUCAUUCUUGUCUAAGCUACAAAUGACACAAGAAAAAUCCAGCUAAGGUUAAGCACUCAUAAGCCACAUGGAUGUUAAGUAGUGGCAGACUUCACUGGAAUCAGUAUGGUUUAUUUAACUUUGUAUGGAUUUUAGCCAUUGUAUCUAGGAUCAUAACGUGUAUCAGCCCAACAGAAGUCUCAGUUUUUAACUUUCCCAUAUAUAUAUAUAUUUGUUACCUUCCACUGCUAUUCGUUUUUCUGCUAUUCUGUCCUUUAAAGCUUUGUACACUACACAUCAAACAGCCCUUUCUACAGUAGAUGGAACUUGGUCUUUUUAUACUUUUCUCAAUGCUGCCAACAUCUGUUACUGUUUAAUGUGUAACUUGUAAGGAGAGAUUCAGAUAUUAAGUGUUUUAGUUUAUGUUCCUACCGUAGAUGGAAUGUACAAUAUCAUGGUUAAUUAGAGUAGCAUAGUACAUUAUGAAUGCCUUUUUCCCAUUAAGACUUUAAUGGAAUGUGAACAUUUGCUGAUUUCCUUGGUUAAUUGUAAAUGCUGAAUUGUAGUCCUGAAUAGUUGCAUUUUUGUCUGUCUCAAUAAAUUUUAAUUUGUCUGCGA